UACGUAGGGUGCGAGCGUUGUCCGGAAUUAUUGGGCGUAAAGAGCUCGUAGGCGGUCUGUCGCGUCGGCCGUGAAACCUGCAGCUUAACUGUGGGCUUGCGGUCGAUACGGGCAUCACUGGAGUUCGGCAGGGGAGACUGGAAUUCCUGGUGUAGCGGUGAAAUGCGCAGAUAUCAGGAGGAACACCGGUGGCGAAGGCGGGUCUCUGGGCCGAUAACUGACGGCUGAGGCAACGGAAAGCCAGGGGAGCAAACGGG
rnacentral:rRNA from 1 species